rnacentral:rRNA from 1 species
GACGAACCGUGCGAACGUUAUUCGGAAUCACUGGGCUUAAAGCGCGUGUAGGCGGGACGGCACGUCGGCCGUUGAAAUCCCCCGCUCAACCGGGGAAGGGGCGCCGAUACGACCGUCCUGGAGGAACGUAGGGGGAGCUGGAACUUCCGGUGGAGCGGUGAAAUGCGUUGAGAUCGGAAGGAACGCCCGUGGCGAAAGCGAGCUCCUGGACGUUUUCUGACGCUGAGACGCGAAAGCCAGGGGAGCGAACGGG